rnacentral:lncRNA from 1 species
UUUUUUCUUUCUGAUUCUUCCAGAAGAGGACUAAAUUGGUUGGUGGAUGAUAGUUGUCCUUUGUAUGGAGGCUGGAUGUAGAAGGUGCUGCAAGCUCUGCAAGCUGAUUAGUUAAUGUGGAAGCUGAAACCUGCCUUGGGAAGCUGACCAUUGACCAUUGUCUUGCUUUUACCUGGGUUGCUUCCUUGUUUCUCUUUAGGUUUUUAAGAAAGGAUAAAGGCUGAACAGAUCUCUGCAGUUACAAUUAUUCAUACUAGAAGAUACUGCUAACCUCUUUGUUAUUUGAGCAGCUGGAUGAGAUUCCUGAUUUCCAUAAUCUGUACCUGGAGGUUUAUACAGGAGAGGAUCACUGGGGCAGACUUGAACCAUGGUGCCCACAAGUGGGGAGGGUGCUCCAGCGGCCAUGGAAAGAACUUCCUUCUGCAGUUGGAGACAGCCUUCUGUGUGGGCUGAAGGACAGAGUGUGAUUUUCUACUUGGAAGAGACUCCAGGGCUCUGCAGAGAGGGAAGCCCUGCUGACCCAUUUCAGCAGACUGUGACACUUCAGCGACCUGCAAAUUCUACACAUUAGAGUUCAUAUUUUAUACAAACUCCGUACACCUAAGAUGUGGACUUAACAUUUCUACCAACAACAUCCAACUUCCAACAAAAGAUGCAGGCCCAUCAGAAGAUGAAAGCUACUAAUGAAGAUGCAUUAAAGAUGAUAUUUAUGGCCACCCCUUAGGGAAAAAAAGAUUCAUAAAUAAUUUCAUGGAAAUUACACCCAAAAUAGAGUCAUAAUUUCCUCAA